GGACUACAAGGGUUUCUAAUCCCGUUUGCUCCCCUAGCUUUCGCGCCUCAGCGUCAGAAAAGGUCCAGUCGAGCGCUUUCGCCACCGGCGUUCCUUCUGAUAUCAACGCAUUUCACCGCUCCACCAGAAGUUCCCUCGACCCCUACCUCCCUCCAGCACAUCAGUUUCCAAGGCACUUCCCCAGUUAAGCUGGGGGCUUUCACCCCGGACUUGACAUGCCGCCUACGCGCCCUUUAAGCCCAGUGAUUCCGAACAACGUUCGCACGGUUCGUCUUACCGCGGCUGCUGGCAC
rnacentral:rRNA from 1 species